UACGUAGGGUGCAAGCGUUGUCCGGAAUUAUUGGGCGUAAAGAGCUCGUAGGUGGCCUGUCGCGUCGGCUGUGAAAACUCGGGGCUCAACUCCGAGCUUGCAGUCGAUACGGGCAGGCUAGAGUUCGGCAGGGGAGACUGGAAUUCCUGGUGUAGCGGUGAAAUGCGCAGAUAUCAGGAAGAACACCCGUGGCUAAGGCGGCUCUCUAGUACGGUACUGACGCUGAGACGCGAAAGCGUGGGGAGCGAACAGG
rnacentral:rRNA from 1 species